UACGUAGGGAGCAAGCGUUGUCCGGAAUCAUUGGGUUUAAAGGGUGCGUAGGUGGGCUGGUAAGUCAGUGGUGAAAUCUCCAGGCUUAACUUGGAAACUGCCAUUGAUACUAUCAGCCUUGAAUACCGUGGAGGUCAGCGAAAUAUGUCAUGUAGCGGUGAAAUGCUUAGAUAUGACAUAGAACACCAAUUGCGAAGGCAGCUGGCUACACGAAUAUUGACACUGAUGCACGAAAGCGUGGGGAUCAAACAGG
rnacentral:rRNA from 1 species